ACUGGGCCGAGCCUGCAACAUGUAAACGAGGGACACUGAGGGUGGGAGGGAGGGAACGACCCUAACUAAUGGUCAUUCCAAGACCUCACCGACUACUUUCAAGGAUCAUCGACGCCAUCCACGAGGGACCGCCGCUCUCCAAGGAUAAACCACGAGCAGUCCCAGCAUAAACGAACCAUGAGGGUAAGAACGAAAAGACAACGGGAGACUAUAUUUGGUCAACACAGGAGCCAUCAACGCAGCCGGCCGGCGACGGGGGAUCGGGUCAGUGGCCGCCAGCCACUACUAUACUCAACACGAUCUAGAAGCCGCUGAGGAGCUUCUGAG
rnacentral:lncRNA from 1 species